CCGGCCUGUAGAAAUGACGUUUUAGACGAUGAAGUGUCUUUUUCAUCCCCCCGUGUGCAGCUUUGUGAUCCUCGUGCGCGUUCGCUGUAAGUGUAGAUGUUAUUCCUGUCGGGAUCCACAGCUUCCAAAUUGAGCCUUCAACUUGGUCGUCAAGAUGUUCGAAUGCUGUUCUUUUGAAGAUUAAAGCCCCAUCCACGCGUAAAUCAGGCAAUGUUGCAUCUGAUAAAUCCAAACUUAACUCCGCUAUGCAGCGUGACAGGGUGUCAGCAACCACGUUCUCAGUUUCCUUGCGAUGCUCAAUUUUAAAGUUAAAACUCUGAAGCCUUAAAGACCACCUUGCCAAACGUCCAUUUAGAUCCUUGAGGGACAUUAGCCAUUUUAGGCUUGCGUGGUCCGUGAUCACAAAAAACGGCAUCAGCUCCACGUAAGGCCUAAACUUUUCAACUACUAACAUCGCUCCCAGACAUUCUUUUUCAGUGACGGAAUACAAAAUCUGAUGUUUAUACUAUUAAGCUUGGAAGAGAAGAAAGCUACGGGACGCUCUGAAUUUUCGUCGUCCAACUGGAACAAUACUGCUCCCACUCCAUUGUUUGAGGCGUAGCAUUGGAUAAAGAAUGGACGUUUAAAAUCAGCAUGGACUAAUAUUGGCGCUGUAGUUAGCGCCAUCUUCAAGUGCUUUAUGGCCCAGACAGCCUCCGGAGUCAAGGAAAACUUGCCUCUUGGAUGUUUCUUGAGGACGUCGGUUAGCGGUGCUGCAAUGGAUGCAAAGUUUUUAAUGAAUCGCCUGUAUCACCCUGCUGUACCUAGGAAGCUUCGUAUCUCCUUUACGUUCUUCGGAUCAGGAUUCUUCUGUAUGGCCAACACUCUUUCUGGAUCCAUUUGCAGCUUUCCACCCCAAUGAUAAACUCAAAGCAUUGUGCUGACAAACGGAGAAAUCGCAGAUGCGUCUGGAGGCCAGGAGCUAUCACCAGAAGAUCGUCCAGAUAGACAAAUACGUUUGAUCGUAGUUGUGUUGGAAUGACUUGGUCCAUCAGUCGACAUAAUCUUUGGGCAGCAUUGCAGAGACCGAAGGGCGUCAUCACGAAUUGGUAAAGUGGACGUCUGGCUACUGUGAAAGCGGUAUACUUCCGGCUUUCCGGUUCCAAUUUUAUUUGCCAGAACGCAAAAUUUAAGAUCGACGCUAGAUAUAUAAUAUGUCUGGUCGAUCCUAGACAAUAUGCCUUCGAUACUCGUGAGAGGGUAGGCGUCCUUUAUGACCACUUCCUGCAUCGCUGGUGAUAGCGGAUAACAACGAUCCUUAAACGGUACUGCGCCCCCCACCAACUGGAUAUAGUGCUGUUCUGCUGCAGUCGUUCCUAGCCCAGCUUCUUCGUCCCAAGUUCUACCUCCGUUUCUUGUCUUCUAUCUUCCGCAUAGUGGCUGAUCUCGGACAUCUUGACUUCAGCUACUUGGGCGUGACUGGAUUCGCUGUUUUCGUCGCCUAGAACUGCUGGAGCCAACUCAAAAAUCUCCA